rnacentral:rRNA from 1 species
AGAGUUUGAUCAUGGCUCAGAUUGAACGCUGGCGGCAUGCCUUACACAUGCAAGUCGAACGGCAGCACGGGAGCUUGCUCCUGGUGGCGAGUGGCGAACGGGUGAGUAAUAUAUCGGAACGUACCCUAGAGUGGGGGAUAACGCAGCGAAAGUUGCGCUAAUACCGCAUACGAUCUACGGAUGAAAGUGGGGGAUCGCAAGACCUCAUGCUCAUGGAGCGGCCGAUAUCUGAUUAGCUAGUUGGUAGGGUAAAAGCCUACCAAGGCUUCGAUCAGUAGCUGGUCUGAGAGGACGACCAGCCACACUGGAACUGAGACACGGUCCAGACUCCUACGGGAGGCAGCAGUGGGGAAUUUUGGACAAUGGGCGCAAGCCUGAUCCAGCAAUGCCGCGUGAGUGAAGAAGGCCUUCGGGUUGUAAAGCUCUUUUGUCAGGGAAGAAACGGUGGACUCUAAUACAGAUCACUAAUGACGGUACCUGAAGAAUAAGCACCGGCUAACUACGUGCCAGCAGCCGCGGUAAUACGUAGGGUGCAAGCGUUAAUCGGAAUUACUGGGCGUAAAGCGUGCGCAGGCGGUUGUGCAAGACAGAUGUGAAAUCCCCGGGCUCAACCUGGGAAUUGCAUUUGUGACUGCACGGCUAGAGUGUGUCAGAGGGGGGUAGAAUUCCACGUAUAGCAGUGAAAUGCGUAGAGAUGUGGAGGAAUACCGAUGGCGAAGGCAGCCCCCUGGGAUAACACUGACGCUCAUGCACGAAAGCGUGGGGAGCAAACAGGAUUAGAUACCCUGGUAGUCCACGCCCUAAACGAUGUCUACUAGUUGUUGGGUCUUAAUUGACUUAGUAACGCAGCUAACGCGUGAAGUAGACCGCCUGGGGAGUACGGUCGCAAGAUUAAAACUCAAAGGAAUUGACGGGGACCCGCACAAGCGGUGGAUGAUGUGGAUUAAUUCGAUGCAACGCGAAAAACCUUACCUACCCUUGACAUGUACGGAAUCCCUGAGAGAUUAGGGAGUGCUCGAAAGAGAGCCGUAACACAGGUGCUGCAUGGCUGUCGUCAGCUCGUGUCGUGAGAUGUUGGGUUAAGUCCCGCAACGAGCGCAACCCUUGUCAUUAGUUGCUACGAAAGGGCACUCUAAUGAGACUGCCGGUGACAAACCGGAGGAAGGUGGGGAUGACGUCAAGUCCUCAUGGCCCUUAUGGGUAGGGCUUCACACGUCAUACAAUGGUACAUACAGAGGGCCGCCAACCCGCGAGGGGGAGCUAAUCCCAGAAAGUGUAUCGUAGUCCGGAUUGUAGUCUGCAACUCGACUACAUGAAGUUGGAAUCGCUAGUAAUCGCGGAUCAGCAUGUCGCGGUGAAUACGUUCCCGGGUCUUGUACACACCGCCCGUCACACCAUGGGAGCGGGUUUCACCAGAAGUAGGUAGCCUAACCGUAAGGAGGGCGCUUACCACGGUGGGAUUCGUGACUGGGGUGAAGUCGUAACAAGGUA